GGAAAUGUAGCUCAGUGGCAGAGUGCUUGCCUGGCACAUAUGAGGUCCUGGGUUCAAUCCCCAACACCGCCC
rnacentral:tRNA from 1 species